GACGAACGCUGGCGGCGUGCUUAACACAUGCAAGUCGAGCGGUAAGGCCCUUUCGGGGGUACACGAGCGGCGAACGGGUGAGUAACACGUGGGUGACCUGCCCUCAGCUCUGGGAUAAGCCUGGGAAACCGGGUCUAAUACUGGAUAUGACUCCAUGACGCAUGUUGUGGGGUGGAAAGCCUUGUGCGGCUGAGGAUGGGCCCGCGGCCUAUCAGCUUGUUGGUGGGGUGAGGCCUACCAAGGCGACGACGGGUAGCCGGCCUGAGAGGGCGACCGGCCACACUGGGACUGAGACACAGCCCAGACUCCUACGGGAGGCAGCAGUGGGGAAUCUUGCGCAAUGGGCGAAAGCCUGACGCAGCGACGCCGCGUGAGGGAUGACGGCCUCGGUUGUAA
rnacentral:rRNA from 1 species